ACUUUAGAGUUAGAUCUUGAUCAUGAUUGAGGUCUGGCGGCGUGCGUAGCACAUACAAGUGGAAGUUGAAAGUCAUUCGGGAUGAGUAAUGUGGCUCACGCGUGAGUGACGCGUGGAUAAUAUUCAUUCAAGACAAAGAUAACAGUUGAGAACGAUCGCUAAUACAGGAUACUCUAUAUAUUAUAUCGUUAUAUAGGAAAUGAUAGCGUGUCCUUGCAACCUAUUGCUUGAAGAUGAGUCCACGUCCCAUUAGCUAGUUGGUGAGGUAAUAGCUCACCAAGGCAACGAUGGGUAGCUGUUCUAAGAGGAUGAUCAGCCACACUGGAACUGGAACACGGUCCAGACUCCUACGGGAGGCAGCAGUGGGGAAUAUUGCGCAAUGGGCGAAAGCCUGACGCAGCGACGCCGCGUGAGGGAUGAAGGUCUUCGGAUCGUAAACCUCUGUCAGAGGGGAAGAAGUGUGUGUAUUCAAAUUGGGUAGGCAUUUGACGGUAUCCUCAAAGGAAGCACCGGCUAAUUCCGUGCCAGCAGCCGCGUUAAUACGGAGGGUGCGAGCGUUAUUCGGAAUUAUUGGGGGUAAAGCGCAGGUAGGUGGUUUUGUAAGUCAGGGGUGAAAUCCCACCGUUCAACGGUGGAACACCUUUUGAUAUUUCAUCAUUAGAUUAUCGGAGAGGGUGGAGGAAUUCCAGGUGUAGGAGUGAAAUCGGUAGAUUUUUGGAGGAACACCGGUGGGGAAGGCGCCCACCUGGCAGAAAAUUGACAUUGAGGUGGGAAAGCAUGGGGAGCAAACAGGAUUAGAUACCCUGGUAGUCCAUGCUGUAAACGAUGGGUGCUAGGUGCUGGGGAGAUAAAUUUUCAGUGCCGUAGUUAACGCGUUAAGCACCACGCCUGGGGAGUACGGUCGCAAGGCUGAAACUCAAAGAAAUUGACGGGGGCCCGCACAAGCGGUGAAGUAUGUGGUUUAAUUCGAUGCAACGCGAAGAACCUUACCCAGGCUUGACAUCCAGGGGA
rnacentral:rRNA from 1 species